rnacentral:lncRNA from 1 species
AAAAUCACUAGCAAUAAUGAUCAUCAAUAGCCAUCCUUGAAGGGUAUGCAUCUUCUUCUUCCAGCUCUACUUCUUCACCAAACUAUAUCAGCAAGAAUCUUCAAAUCAACGCCGACUAAACUAUAAAUCGUCGCUCUGCUCCUCCGUCUUCACCGAAGAUUUCCUCAAUUCGAUGGGUUUGUAAAACAAUGGAUUUGGGGGCGAAAUCAGUGGAUGAAGUGUUGGAAGAGAUAAUGAGGAUUCCUAAAUCGCCUUUUCUAUGUUGUUUGAUUUGAUUUCUUAGUGUAACAUUUGCAGUAAAUCAAUAGAAUCACAUCUUCUUUCUUCAUAAUUUGAUUAUCACUGUUACUUCAAUUUGGGAUCACUUCAUUGUGGUUGUGAUGUGUUGAU